UACGUAGGGGGCAAGCGUUGUCCGGAAUCAUUGGGCGUAAAGAGCGUGUAGGCGGCUCGGUAAGUCCGCUGUGAAGUCCAGGGCUCAACCCUGGAAUGCCGGUGGAAACUGUCGAGCUAGAGUACGAAAGAGGAUCGCGGAAUUCCCGGUGUAGAGGUGAAAUUCGUAGAUAUCGGGAGGAACACCGGUGGCGAAGGCGGCGAUCUGGGUCGAUACUGACGCUGAGGUGCGAAAGCGUGGGGAGCAAACAGG
rnacentral:rRNA from 1 species